ensembl:lncRNA
CCUGUGCAGACGGACCUCUGGGCUGGUCGAAACUGCCAAGUCACCUUCUUUGCUGUCGACGAAUGCUCUGCUGAUGUCGCCCGUUUCACCGGCGUAGUGACAUGUUCCGUUGCCACAGGAACGGCUGCUGUGUCUUCCAGGCCGGCACCGACCCCGGUGACCUUCCUUGCUUUGCCGUUGUUGUUUUUGUUCUGUUCCGUGAAGAGCUCAGUCAGCACUUCGGCUUCAGUGGUUUCUCCAAACAAGUCCCAGCCCGGCUCAGCAGGCAUCCGCUUGGAUCGCGCCACGGAAGCUUUGUUCCCAGCGGCAGAGAGCCUGGAGGAGCGACUCGGAUCCGAGUCGGAAAGACCGUGCCAUGGAUAGACAACACGUCUCCACUUCUUCAUCUAUGACACCUGAGAUGUCAUCUUGCGCUCUUGAUGUUAUCUGAAGUCAGAAGCUACGGAGUAGUGAUGGGUCCUCGUGCGCAGGUGUGUUGAGAAGUGACGGGUAGCACCACUGUAGCUCAGCACUCUCCUCCCUCCCCCACUCCUUCAGCCCCACAUCGUCCACGUCUUUCUCCAGCGACGUGCUGCUGCUGCCCAGGUCAGAGCCGCUGAUCGGCUGGUCGCUGUCGUAGCCGGCCUCCUCCUGGCUCUGGUUGGAUAAGGAGAGGAAGACGCCACUGGAGUCGGACUCCAGCGUGAGGUUGGAGUCUGGAGAGCUGUCUUCCUUAGUGGAGCUAGAAAAAAGACAAAGCCGUCAAAUGACUGCUACAUCCACCUGACUUCUAAGGACCUCUCUCUAUCACUUCUUAUCACUGAUGCCUUCCGACUUGUCAUAAGUCACGCACAGCACGGCAGAUCCUGAAAGUCCUCUGAUUUGAAUACUAACCCAUUGAUGAUGGACAAAUCGAUAUGGAACAUUAGCCCUCUACAUUACCUGAGUUUGUGUUACUUUCACAUCUACUUCUUUUGAUGAAAAUCAAAUUGAACCUACAGUUAGACAGCACAUGUUGGAAUAAAUAUGAAAUAUUUAAUUGUAAAGUAUGUGUUUUUGUCUUGCAUUAAAUCAGCGUGGAAUAUUUGCUGAAAUUGAUUUGAUUGCCUUAGCUAGAACAGUUUCCACCAGCUGCCACUGGACGUUAGAGAAUACAGUCUGUAUUUAACAUGGAUCACGUGGACUAGAAGGAAUGUACACAGCAUUCAGGACUUCCAUAAAUGGU